rnacentral:rRNA from 1 species
GAUCAUGGCUCAGGAUGAACGCUAGCUACAGGCUUAACACAUGCAAGUCGAGGGGCAGCAUGGUCUUAGCUUGCUAAGGCUGAUGGCGACCGGCGCACGGGUGAGUAACACGUAUCCAACCUGCCGUCUACUCUUGGCCAGCCUUCUGAAAGGAAGAUUAAUCCAGGAUGGGAUCAUGAGUUCACAUGUCCGCAUGAUUAAAGGUAAUUUUCCGGUUUACGGUACGAAUGGGAGG